GGCCGGCUCGCCCAGGCGGCCGGGGUCGGCCGGCUGGUGGUCAGCCACCUGCUCGGCGACGACGACGAGGCGUCGUUCGCCGCCGCGCGGGCCGC
rnacentral:tRNA from 1 species